GUCAUGCACGUGGGUGCGGUGGCUCGCGCACACGUGCACAUAGAGCCCACUGAGGGCACGGUGGUCGCUCUAAUCCGUUUAUUUUUGCGACUUUGUAUAUCAUCUAGCCCAUGUUAGACCUGGGUUAUGUAUCAUCAAGAAAUUAGUCUUUGGGGAAUCGCUGGCACAUCUACGUGAUAACAUUGAUGGAGGAGUCUACAACGUAACCAUCUUUCGACAAAUCGUUCUUCCAUCUUCCGUGCCUUCUCCAGCACCUUUCAUUUACAGAUGUUCUUGCUGCCAUGGAUGCUCCUCCAGCCCUCAACCAGUGCAAACCUACAUGUACAUAGGGCUUCACCAGCGAAGAGGACUGGUGGUCUAUGCGUUUAUAUGUCUGUGGCAUGCGCAAAAUGGGAAAACAGGACGUGACAAGAUUUGGAAUGCUCCUUGGCAUGUUAGUAUUACAAACAAAAGACAAUGAGUUUCUAGCCACACAACUGCAUGUGUGCACAAGAUUUGAUGGAAAAUGGUGUCCUGUAUGCAGAGUUGUUUAGAGUAUGUGUUGGAGGUUCCUUUCGAGUUCUGUGAUGUUUUCCACCAGACAUUUUACCCACUUGGUGAUGUGCAGUCAGGAUGGGAGGGUGAGACCAUCUUUAUGCUAUGGUCAAAACUUGGCAGCUUUUCAGCUAAGCACACGUUUUGUCCCACACCACUUUGUGUGUCUAGUUCCUCAAGUGUGUGAACAUCAUGAUGGUGAUAAUGAAAGCCAAACAGCAGAAAGCCUCGAAAAAGAACAAAUCCAUGCCUCAAAAUGUCAGUGUUACGUCACGCACCGGUUCCAUCCAUGGCUCCAGAACAAAUGGAGAGUGGAGUUGUCAUACUACAGAGGAGCCUAAUGCAGCUAGUCCUAACCAAGAGAAGUCUCUUCACGAGGCAUGGAGUUCACCAGCCAGUCCUCAGAAGGAGCAAACAUCUCACCAGGAACCCAGUUCACCAGCCAGUCCUCAGAAGGAGCAGACUCCUUACCAGGUACCCACUUCACCAGCCAGUCCUCAGAAGGAACAGACAUCUCAUCAGGAACCCAGUUCACCAGCCAGUCCUCAGAAGGAGCAGACUCCUUACCAGGAGGAAGUCAUUAAAAGAAAACGAUGGAGCAAGGACAGGCCAAUGAGUGGGCAGCAUCAGUGGAGAGCACAGAACCUGAAGCGGGCUCAAGAGAGACUCAAGUUCCAGUGAGCACCCAAGUGACACCCACUCUGACAGUGAUGAGGAGCAAGAACAGUGGAUGGAGGAAACAGCAGGUGUUAAAGGUGAUAGCAGCAUGGUUGGUCCCCUUCCUGUUGGCUCAUUUUCUGGCAUCACUGAAAGAGUAAGGUGAUAGCAGCGUGGUUGGUCCUCUGCCUGUGUGCUCAUCCUCUGGCAUCAGUGCCCCAGGAGAAUUUGGGAAGGCCUCAUUGCCAGGUGAAUGUACUGCCACAGCUGUCCUUGAACAGCUGAACGUUGAAGCUGGCUAGCAUCAUGGUUUGAGUGGACUGGCCAAUGAAAUCUCCAAAGUGAAGAGGCAGGUUACGUCAUAAGUAGCACAGACCUCCUCACAUGAAAACUGUGGGUAUGCCCUAAGAGAAGCCAAUGCCAAUGUGAAGAGCGCCCUUGCCUCCUUCAACCUGGAGAGAAGGAAGCUGGAGGACAAGAUUCUAUGGGACUUCACAGAGAUGAUUCAUGAAGAAGUAACUCAGAUAGAUGCCAGUCUUUGCCCUCCAUCACUG
rnacentral:lncRNA from 1 species